rnacentral:misc_RNA from 1 species
GGAAGUAAAAGUGUAACAAGGUUUCCGUAGGUGAACCUGCGGAAGGAUCAUUAUUGUAUAACCGAGGUGCGAGGGCUGUCGCUGACCCGAAAGGACGUGCACGCCCGAGUGCCCUCACACACAUCCAUCUCACCCCUAUGUGCACCACCGCGUGGGUCCCCCUUUGGCUUGUUCGGAGGGGGGCUUACGUUUUCACACAAACUUUGUAUGCAGUGUAGAAUGUAUUUUUUGUUUUUGCGAUCACGCAAUCAAUACAACUUUCAACAACGGAUCUCUUGGCUCUC